rnacentral:tRNA from 1 species
AACUGCGUGGCGCAGUGGAAGCGCGGUAAGUUCUGGCUACACAAGAAGUCGACAGUUCGAAUCAGCCAUACUAACUCUACUCUCCUCAGCCGGGCUCAUAACCCGGAGGUCCUCCGAUCGAAACGGAGCGCAGCUA